rnacentral:rRNA from 1 species
UACGUAGGGGCGAGCGUUGUCCGGAAUGGACUUGGGCGUUAAAGGGCGUGUAGGCGGCCGGAUUAAGUAUGGAGUGAAAGUUCCAUUUUUCAAGGAUGGAAUUGCUUUGUAGACUGGUUGGCUUGAGUGCGGAAGAGGUAAGUGGAAUUCCCAGUGUAGCGGUGAAAUGCGUAGAGAUUGGGAGGAACACCAGUGGCGAAGGCGACUUACUGGGCCGUAACUGACGCUGAGGCGCGAAAGCGUGGGGAGCGAACAGGAUUAGAUACCCUGGUAGUCCCUGA